rnacentral:rRNA from 1 species
AUUGAACGCUGGCGGCAUGCUUUACACAUGCAAGUCGAACGGCAGCACAGAGGAGCUUGCUUCUUGGGUGGCGAGUGGCGAACGGGUGAGUAACGCAUCGGAACGUACCGAGUAAUGGGGGAUAACUGUCCGAAAGGACAGCUAAUACCGCAUACGCCCUGAGGGGGAAAGCGGGGGAUCUUAGGACCUCGCGUUAUUCGAGCGGCCGAUGUCUGAUUAGCUGGUUGGCGGGGUAAAGGCCCACCAAGGCGACGAUCAGUAGCGGGUCUGAGAGGAUGAUCCGCCACACUGGGACUGAGACACGGCCCAGACUCCUACGGGAGGCAGCAGUGGGGAAUUUUGGACAAUGGGCGCAAGCCUGAUCCAGCCAUGCCGCGUGUCUGAAGAAGGCCUUCGGGUUGUAAAGGACUUUUGUCAGGGAAGAAAAGGAACGUGUUAAUACCAUGUUCUGAUGACGGUACCUGAAGAAUAAGCACCGGCUAACUACGUGCCAGCAGCCGCGGUAAUACGUAGGGUGCGAGCGUUAAUCGGAAUUACUGGGCGUAAAGCGGGCGCAGACGGUUACUUAAGCGGGAUGUGAAAUCCCCGGGCUCAACCCGGGAACUGCGUUCCGAACUGGGUGGCUAGAGUGUGUCAGAGGGGGGUAGAAUUCCACGUGUAGCAGUGAAAUGCGUAGAGAUGUGGAGGAAUACCGAUGGCGAAGGCAGCCCCCUGGGAUAACACUGACGUUCAUGCCCGAAAGCGUGGGUAGCAAACAGG